rnacentral:rRNA from 1 species
CUGCUUCAGUUAUUAUUAGAUUUUAUUUUUCAGUCAAAAAGCUGAAAUAAUAUUAAAAGACGAGAAGACCCUAUAGAUCUUAAUAAUUUAUUAAUUAAUUUUAUAUAGAAAAUUUAAAAUUUAAUUAAGAAAAUUAUUUUAUUGGGGUGAUAAUAAGAUUUAAUAAACUCUUAUAUUUAAAAAACAUAAAUUAAUGAAUUGUUGAUCCAUUAAUAGUGAUUAUUAGAUUAAGUUACCUUAGGGAUAACAG